AGUGUCGCUUGUUUUUUUUUUUUUAUCAUUUUGUUGUGAAAGACUCAAGGCACUUGUUCUUUUUACCUGUUGCCAACCUGCGUGCGCAUUGACCGGUCAUCGAUCAUCAAUUUUUUUAAUCAUUUUGGUUCAUACAAAGAUAUAACAAUGAUCUUCACAUAUUGCGGCGCUACAGGUGCUCACGUUACCAAGGUGGAUACAAUAAUAUUAUUUUUUGACAAUCGAGGAAAGAAGUAACUGCUUUAAUCCAUUUUUUCGGGGAUGUCUCGCAAUUAAACCAUCCUGUAAAGCCUCUUAUAUAUUUAUUUCGUGAUUGAUGAUUGUUAUUGUAAACAAAGUAAAAUAAUAAAAUUAUAAAACGUUGACACGAAAAGAGCGAUGACAGAA